rnacentral:rRNA from 1 species
UGGGCAACCUGCCCUUCUCUUCGGAAUAAGCGUUGGAAACGACGUCUAAUGCCGAAUACGACCUCCUUUCGCAUGAUCGGAGGUGGAAAACUCUGGCGGAGAAGGAUGAGCUCGCGGCCUAUCAGCUAGUUGGUGAGGCAACGGCUCACCAAGGCGACGACGGGUAGCUGGUCUGAGAGGAUGGCCAGCCACAGUUGGGACUGAGACACGGCCCAGACCUCCGUAGGAG